GGCGAAGUGGCCGAGAAGGUGGUGGGUUGUAGCCCCAAGUACAGAGGUUAAGCCCUCUCUUUGUCA
rnacentral:tRNA from 1 species